rnacentral:rRNA from 1 species
CGAGCGGCGGACGGGUGAGUAAUGCCUAGGAAUCUGCCUGGUAGUGGGGGAUAACGCUCGGAAACGGACGCUAAUACCGCAUACGUCCUACGGGAGAAAGCAGGGGACCUUCGGGCCUUGCGCUAUCAGAUGAGCCUAGGUCGGAUUAGCUAGUUGGUGGGGUAAUGGCUCACCAAGGCGACGAUCCGUAACUGGUCUGAGAGGAUGAUCAGUCACACUGGAACUGAGACACGGUCCAGACUCCUACGGGAGGCAGCAGUGGGGAAUAUUGGACAAUGGGCGAAAGCCUGAUCCAGCCAUGCCGCGUGUGUGAAGAAGGUCUUCGGAUUGUAAAGCACUUUAAGUUGGGAGGAAGAGCAGUUGCUUAAUACGUGACUGUUUUGACGUUACCGACAGAAUAAGCACCGGCUAACUCUGUGCCAGCAGCCGCGGUAAUACAGAGGGUGCAAGCGUUAAUCGGAAUUACUGGGCGUAAAGCGCGCGUAGGUGGUUUGUUAAGUUGAAUGUGAAAUCCCCGGGCUCAACCUGGGAACUGCAUCCAAAACUGGCAAGCUAGAGUAUGGUAGAGGGUGGUGGAAUUUCCUGUGUAGCG